GAUGAACGCUAGCGGCAGGCCUAAUACAUGCAAGUCGGACGGGAUCCAUUGAUAGCUUGCUAUCAAUGGUGAGAGUGGCGCACGGGUGCGUAACGCGUGAGCAACCUGCCUCCAUCAGGGGGAUAGCCUCUCGAAAGAGAGAUUAACACCGCAUAAUAUCAACAGUUCGCAUGUUCAGUUGAUUAAAUAUUUAUAGGAUGGAGAUGGGCUCGCGUGACAUUAGCUAGUUGGUAGGGUAACGGCUUACCAAGGCGACGAUGUCUAGGGGCUCUGAGAGGAGAAUCCCCCACACUGGUACUGAGACACGGACCAGACUCCUACGGGAGGCAGCAGUAAGGAAUAUUGGUCAAUGGGCGGAAGCCUGAACCAGCCAUGCCGCGUGCAGGAUGACUGCACUAUGGGUUGUAAACUGCUUUUGUCCAGGAAUAAACCUAAAUACGAGUAUUUAGCUGAAUGUACUGGAAGAAUAAGGAUCGGCUAACUCCGUG
rnacentral:rRNA from 1 species